rnacentral:rRNA from 1 species
GAAGUAAAAGUCGUAACAAGGUCUCCGUUGGUGAACCAGCGGAGGGAUCAUUACUGAGUUACCGCUCUAUAACCCUUUGUGAACAUACCUACAACUGUUGCUUCGGCGGGUAGGCCGUCCCCUGAAAAGGACGCCUCCCGGCCCGGACCGGACCCCCCGCGGGACCGGACCCGGCGCCCGCCGGAGGAUAACCAAACUCUAUUGUAACGACGUUUCUUCUGAGUGGCAUAAGCAAAAUAAUCAAAACUUUUAACAACGGAUCUCUUGGUUCUGGCAUCGAUGAAGAACGCAGCGAAAUGCGAUAAGUAAUGUGAAUUGCAGAAUUCAGUGAAUCAUCGAAUCUUUGAACGCACAUUGCGCCCGCCAGCAUUCUGGCGGGCAUGCCUGUUCGAGCGUCAUUUCAACCCUCAAGCUCUGCUUGGUGUUGGGGCUCUACGGUCGACGUAGGCCCUCAAAGGUAGUGGCGGACCCUCCCGGAGCCUCCUUUGCGUAGUAACAUUUCGUCUCGCACUGGGAUCCGGAGGGACUCUUGCCGUAAAACCCCCCAAUUUUCCAAAGGUUGACCUCGGAUCAGGUAGGAAUACCCGCUGAACUUAAGCAUAUCAAU